UUUCAACCUCCAGUCAUCAACCAUCUUGUGGGAAAGGCUACACAUUGGUAGAAUAAAAAGCGAGAAGUUCCUGGCCUGUGAUACUCCUCCAGCUGAGAGUGUCUGACUGGCAGCAUGUUGGCACCAGCAUUGAGGGAAGCGAUGGGCUUCAGCUCCAGGUUCCUGUCCUGAGACCACAGCAGGAUGUGCCUUGGACAAAGGCUUGGACUCCUGGAUCAUCUGGUGACUUCAAAAAUCUGGUCUCAGGGUGGCGAAUUUUUUUUGUGAAUUCCUAACCUGUGAGCUUAUGAUGAUGGUGCCUGUCAAUUAGCUGAACAAUUGUGGUUUUGAACGUCCUGAGGCCAGGGACUGAAAACACC